ensembl:lncRNA
AAAGUAAUAUUAGAAACAGACAAAAGCCUGAGUCUUUUAGCAUUACAGGUGUUUUUUUUUUUAGCCCUUCCUAGACAUAAAGGAAUAGGCAGUGUUGUUAAGUUCCCUUCUUCUGUCUUCUCUUAAGCUGAAAGUCCAACGAUUUCAAGAUUCAAUUAAUUAGAGACGUGGAGAGCCAAAGAACAAGCCAUCCAGGUAUUUAUCGCCAAGGCUUCUGAGUUCCUGUCACACCUUCCAUUUUAAGAUUUGGGCAACCAGAGACCGUGGCAUCACCAAGUCAGCCUCUACUAGUGAGUUUCAUAUGGAGAUCCAGCUGCAAAUUAAACCUACCCUGCCUUAAUAGAACCUGUGGACAGGGGGAUUGCUGAAAAUACUACAUGCCCUCCCUUGAGCUCAAUACUCCUGGAAUGCAGCCAACUCCACUGGCACAGGUUUUGGGGGCUGAUCCCCCUUCACAAUUCUUCUCUUCGUAUCUAUUAAAGAGGAAGAUGGAGCAGACCUUCAGGUCAGCCAAAGAUACAGAGAUUUUUGGUGAGCUUUCUUCCAACUAUAGAAAAUGAAGAUAGUCAUUUCAGGACAUUACAUUAAGAUAAAUUUGAGCGAGAUGGAGAAGAUGGGAUAGACAUAUAGAAUGGCAAGUAGACCAAUUUCAGCUUGUGUUCUAAUUACUGCUUUGUAAGUUUAAGCAGAGAGACU